CCCUUAGAUGUCCUGGGCCGCACGCGCGCUACACUGACAUGUUCAACAAGUUUCUCCUAGUUCGACAGGACUGGGAAAUCUUUGAACGCAUGUCGUGGUAGGGAUAGAUCAUUGCAAUUAUUGAUCUUGAACGAGGAAUUCCUAGUAAACGCGAGUCAUCAGCUCGCAUUGAUUACGUCCCUGCCCUUUGUACACACCGCCCGUCGCACCUACCGAUUGAAUGUUUCGGUGAAGAUUCCGGAUAGGACUGAUUUGAUUUAUUUCAUUUCUGACCUAAAAGCUAUCUAAACCUCAACAUUUAGAGGAAGGUGAAGUCGUAACA
rnacentral:rRNA from 1 species